AGUGUCAUUCAGCAGUCAGCUAGUCAUCCUGCUAGGCUACAGCCCACUAGGUUCAGUCUUCAGCCUGCUAGACUAGCAUAGAAUCCCACCCCUUUCCUAUACCUGUCCUUCAAAUCAAAACAUGAGUGGAGGUGAAUCCAUAUUAAACAGCUGUAGGGUUAGGCCAGACUGCUGGGUGGAGGUGAAUCCAUAUUAAACAGUGGUAGGGUUCAGCCAGACUGCUGGGUGGAGGUGAAUCCAUAUUAAACAGCGGUAGGGUUCAGCCAGACUGCUGGGUGGAGGUGAAUCCAUAUUAAACAGUGGUAGGGUUCAGCCAGACUGCUGGGUGGAGGUGAAUCCAUAUUAAACAGUGGUAGGGUUAGGCCAGACUGCUGGGUGGAAGUUGAGGUGAAUCCAUAAAGAGGUCCAGAGUUAGGCUAUGUUCUGUUUUCCUUCCUCACCGAGACAGACACGGUUUUAUCCAGUUUAAACUGGACUGAACCGGUCAGUAGAACAGUAAACUAGUGUGACGCAGUUUGGAGCACAGUGAUCCACUUCGAACCAGUCUGAUCUGGUUUGUCUCUAUGAAGCACAGUGACU
rnacentral:lncRNA from 13 species